rnacentral:rRNA from 1 species
CUAACACAUGCAAGUCGAACGAGAUCUUCGGAUCUAGUGGCGCACGGGUGCGUAACGCGUGGGAAUCUGCCCUUGGGUUCGGAAUAACAGUUAGAAAUGACUGCUAAUACCGGAUGAAGUCUACGGACCAAAGAUUUAUCGCCCAGGGAUGAGCCCGCGUAGGAUUAGCUAGUUGGUGGGGUAAAGGCCUACCAAGGCGACGAUCCUUAGCUGGUCUGAGAGGAUGAUCAGCCACACUGGGACUGAGACACGGCCCAGACUCCUACGGGAGGCAGCAGUGGGGAAUAUUGGACAAUGGGGGCAACCCUGAUCCAGCAAUGCCGCGUGAGUGAUGAAGGCCUUCGGGUCGUAAAGCUCUUUUACCCGGGAUGAUAAUGACAGUACCGGGAGAAUAAGCCCCGGCUAACUCCGUGCCAGCAGCCGCGGUAAUACGGAGGGGGCUAGCGUUGUUCGGAAUUACUGGGCGUAAAGCGCACGUAGGCGGUUACUCAAGUCAGAAGGUGAAAGCCCGGGGCUCAACCCCGGAACUGCCUUUGAAACUAGGUGACUGGAAUCUUGGAGAGGCCAAGUGGAAUUCCGA